UCCGAUCACAGAGACUUUGCAUCGCAUGUCGGUGUCCUCACCCGUUCUCAUAUCCCGAUCAUAUACCUGGACUUUCGCCAGGUGCCUCAUGAACAAAUUCAUAUGGUCAUAGAAAGAUUAUCACAGUUUUAUGAGUUUGAAGGUCAAAGUUGGGCUGCAAGUCUUGAUUACGUUACAAAACGCAUCAAUGAAGCGUGGAGGAAUUACAAGAGAAGAUUGACUGUAAAAAAUAUUACAAACAAGGAUCCUAUUGCUGUGAGAGAUGGUCCUGCCCCCCAGGUAUCCCUAUGGAGGAUUGGAGGGCCUUCGUGGAUCAACGUACCACCGAGGAAUUCAAGAGGGUAAGCGCAAGGAAUAAAGUCAAUCUGGCUAAGGUAAAAGGACCUGCGUGUCUUAGGAGGCACAGCAUGGCUGUUACUCGCCAUAAGAUGGCGAUGGAGAAUAAUCUUACCUCUGAUGUCGAGAUAGGUAGAUGUGAAGUGUUCUUAAGAGCCCAUACAAGAAAGGACAAAGUUGUCCAGUAUCCUGACCUUGCU